rnacentral:lncRNA from 1 species
UUUGCAGAACUACUAGGACGAAGAAUAUUGUUUCAGGCACAGAGUCCCAUUCAGCAGUUGGAUUUGAUCACGGAUCUGUUGGGCACACCAUCACUGGAAGCAAUGAGGACAGCUUGUGAAGGCGCUAAGGCACAUAUACUCAGGGGUCCUCAUAAACAGCCAUCUCUUCCUGUACUCUAUACCCUGUCUAGCCAGGCUACACAUGAAGCUGUUCAUCUCCUUUGCAGGAUGUUGGUCUUUGAUCCAGUAAAAUAUCCGCUAAGGAUGCCUUAGCCCACCCCUACCUAGAUGAAGGGCGACUACGAUAUCACACAUGUAUGUGUAAAUGUUGCUUUUCCACCUCCACUGGAAGAGUUUAUACCAGUGACUUUGAGCCUGUCACCAAUCCCAAAUUUGAUGACACUUUCGAGAAGAACCUCAGUUCUGUCCGACAGGUUAAAGAAAUUAUUCAUCAGUUCAUUUUGGAACAGCAGAAAGGAAACAGAGUGCCUCUCUGCAUCAACCCUCAGUCUGCUGCUUUUAAGAGCUUUAUUAGUUCCACUGUUGCUCAGCCAUCUGAGAUGCCCCCAUCUCCUCUGGUGUGGGAGUGAUGGUGGAAGAUAAUGUACUACUGAAGAUGUAAUGUAGCUUUCCACUGGAGUCUGGGAUUUGCAAUUCUGGAGGUUAAUCAUGCUUGUACUGUAAUUUUACUAAUGAAGUUUUAAAUUAACAACCACUACUUGUAUGAUAUGAAUAAUAUUUAGAAAUGUUACUAGACUUUUAAUCUUGUAAAGUGGUUGUGCUUUUAGAAGAAAAAUAUUUUACCCAGAGUUGCACAUGUUUUAUGAAUUUAGUGCAGCUGUUAUGGCUCACCUCAGAACAAAAGAGAAUUGAACCAAAUUUGGGAGUUUGGGGUUUUAUGUUUUGUUUUUCUUUUCUAAAAUGAAGUGAGAUUGUUCACACACACACACACACACACACACACACACAAACACAAAGGACAGUCAUACAUUUUGAUAUUUGAGCCAUUCCUAAAGAUUUGGGGUUUUCUAAAACUAAAGAAUCUAGGAACCUUGCCUGCGACCAAUCAUGGAGCCACGUGAGCUGAUCGUGGCUGCACCUGGGGGGAGGGUAGGGAGGAGGGGCAUGCCACCUAAUGAUCAAGCCCUAUAAUUAGCUUCUCAUUAGAGCCGUGAUGGUGAUGUGUGCUGUCUAAAAUCCAAUGUUGUGGGUAGAGAGAAUGAGUUUGUGACUAGGAGAGACUAAACUUUUGUUUUCCUUACCCAGUAUAAAUAUAUAUAUAUAUAUUUAAUCUAUUUUUAUUAGAAGUUUUUCUGCUCUUUCUUACAUAAAAGAACCCCAAGCAUGCAUCUUUCAUGUGUGUAAAUAAUUCAUUUCUGGGCUAAUUUCAAAAGAAUCCCAAUAUUGCUGUAUAGAAAGAGAACUAGCUUGCACAUUUUAGGUCUGUGAAAUUUUGUGAGACUUUUCCUGCACUGGACAGUAAAAAAAUAAUAAAAGAC